GACGAACGCUGGCGGCGUGCUUAACACAUGCAAGUCGAACGGUGAUGACAGGGCUUGCCUUGUCGGAUCAGUGGCGAACGGGUGAGUAACACGUGAGUAACCUGCCCCAGACUCUGGGAUAACCCCGGGAAACCGGAGCUAAUACCGGAUAUGACCCUUGUACGCAUGUGCUGGGGGUGGAAAGUUUUUCGGUCUGGGAUGGGCUCGCGGCCUAUCAGCUUGUUGGUGAGGUAGUGGCUCACCAAGGCGACGACGGGUAGCCGGCCUGAGAGGGCGACCGGCCACACUGGGACUGAGACACGGCCCAGACUCCUACGGGAGGCAGCAGUGGGGAAUAUUGCACAAUGGGCGAAAGCCUGAUGCAGCGACGCCGCGUGAGGGAUGACGGCCUUCGGGUUGUAAACCUCUUUCAGCAGGGAAGAAGCGCAAGUGACGGUACCUGCAGAAGAAGCACCGGCUAACUACGUGCCAGCAGCCGCGGUAACAC
rnacentral:rRNA from 1 species